GCCUGGAACACAAUGAUUGAGGAAAUGUGUGGUACAAGUCAGAAAGGGAAGCAGGGGUCAGAUCACAUGGGGCCAUAUAGAGUGGGGAAGGGAGUUUGGACUUUAUUCUAAAUCCAAUGGGAACCUGCUAAAGAAUUUUAAGAAGAAGAACAACCCGCAGGCCCUGCACGGCUAACUGACCAGCGCACGCCAACACUGCCCCCAACUUUGUGUAACUGACGGUCUUGCGGCUUCAUCCAGAUGAGGAAGUGGAGGCUCAGAGAGUGACUUUACCUGGGCUCUAGUCCUAGGUCACAGUGGAAUCAGAAUUCGAAUCUCCUCUGCUGGCCUCCAUACUUCCAGCUGCACUCCAUGCCUCCAAGCCCAGAACUAGAGAAGUAGCAGAAGGAAUAGGAAGGAGGGCACAGAUAUGAGGAUGCUCCCAAAGAACAGAAUUUGGUGAGUAAUUAGGUGGCAUGGGUGGGGAAGAGGAGAGGACAGGAGGAAUCAAAGACAACUGAAGCCUCAGCCUGAGCACUGAGGAGAUGGUAAUAAUGUGUUUACCUGGGAUACACAAGACAGAAGAAGCAGAGUUUGGGGAACAGGUGAUGCAUUUGAAUUUGGAUGUGUUGAAUUAGAAUUGAUGUUUAGCAAGCAGCGUAAACUUGGCUGUAGGUGAGCAGCAAUUGUCUCACACUUAGAGUUAGAGGGUCAUCAGUGACCUCCUUGGGAGCAGGGACCUCUGCAAAGCAUGUGGCGGGUGGGAGUAGGACCACAGCGGGCCAGGAAAGAAUGCAGAUGUGCUGGCAGAAGCACAAAUGCACGCUCUUCCCUUGAGAAAUUAUCAUUGAAAAGAAGGAAGGGCUAGGAUAGAAGCAGGACGGGAGAUGCACAGUUGGAAGAAAGCUUUUCUUUCUAGAAUGAAGGGUGUCGGUCUGUUUGUGAGCAGAGAGAACAGUGCUGUGGAGAAGAAGCUAGGCUACAACAAAGAAGGACGGUUUUCCUCUGGGACAGGAGGGAAGGAAAGGAGGCCAGAGUGAAAGGAGAGAGAAAACGUGAAAAUUGCAUUUCUUGAUAUACUUGGGCAGGUUUCUGAGAGGUAAGAUGAUAGAUGCAAUAGAAGUGCAAGGGUGUGCUAUUGCUGGAGGAGAGUGGGAAAGGUUUG
rnacentral:lncRNA from 1 species